UUUUAGCCCCGGUUGAAACGGCAUCCUUUUUUGUGAUUGCGAUGGCGUGCAUUUUCUACGGAAUGCUUCCUUUUGUUCGCAAUAACAAAAAAGAUACAGUGGAAAACGGGACCGAAC
rnacentral:sRNA from 2 species